rnacentral:rRNA from 1 species
UACAGAGGUCUCAAGCGUUGUUCGGAUUCAUUGGGCGUAAAGGGUGCGUAGGUGGCGGGGGUAAGUCUGGUGUGAAAUCUCGGGGCUCAACCCCGAAACUGCACUGGAUACUGCCUUGCUCGAGUACUGGAGAGGAGAUUGGAAUUUACGGUGUAGCAGUGAAAUGCGUAGAUAUCGUAAGGAAGACCAGUGGCGAAGGCGGCGAUCUGGGUCGAUACUGACGCUGAGGUGCGAAAGCGUGGGGAGCAAACAGG